GGGGGGGGGGGGGGGGGGGGGGGGGGGGGGGGGGGGGGGGGGGGGGGGGGGGGGGGGGGGGGGGGCGCGAGGGGCGGAGGGGGGAGGAGCACGGGGGGAGCCUGCCCUGGACGGUGGGAUAACGGCAGGAAACUGGGGGUAAUACCGGAUAGGAGCUCCUGCUGCAUGGUGGGGGUUGGAAAGGUUCGGCGGUUGGGGAUGGACUCGCGGCUUAUCAGCUUGUUGGUGGGGUAGUGGCUUACCACGGCUUUGGCGGGUAGCCGGCCUGGGAGGGUGACCGGCGACAUUGGGACUGAGAUACGGACCAGACUCCUACGGGAGGCAGUGGUGGGGAGUUUUGCGCAGUGGGCGGGAGCGUGAGGCAGCAGCGCCGCGUGCGGGGUGACGGGCUUCGGGUGGUAAACCGCUUUCGCCUGUGACGAGGCGUGAGUGACGGUAACGGGUAAAGAAGCACCGGCUAACUACGUG
rnacentral:rRNA from 1 species